ensembl:lncRNA
UGGCAAUGCAGUUCACCAGAGGGAAACCGAUUUAUAUGCAUUAUUCAGUUUUGACAGAUUAUUGUUUUGACGCAAUAGAUAAAUUAAUAUUUGUCAUGAAGCAAGUGGCAUGAAGACAUUUAGAAAUGUUAAUGGGUAAUGGCAAAAAAAUAGAUCAAUUAAAUUUUUAUAAAGCAGCCAUUUAAACCUACUGAUGACUUUCUAGUAGCGCAGCCUUGAUGAGAAUGAAUUUGGGUUUCUCCUUGACCUAGAAAGCAGGUCUCUCAUUUCAUGAAGUGCCUCAAUAGAUUUGUGCCCAACCAUUCAUGAAUAUUGCUCUGCAAUCUUUCAACUUGAAAGGUUCAGAGGGCCAUGGCCAUGGGUUAUGACAGUCUUUUAUCUUGACGGAUCGAGGUUGAGGAGAAAUUACGGUUGCCAACAGCUGGUUCUUCUGCCAUAACUAGCCAAGGUUUUAUGUUUUUUUUUUUCUUCUCAGAAAAAUGUCUGUAAUUUAAAUUAAUAAAAUUUGUAAUUGUUCUGCUUUAUGCCUCUCUUUGGGAGGGUUAAAAUGGAUUAUUCUUAAUUAGUAAUUUGUCAUUCAGCUGACACUUUCAUCCAAAGUGACUUGUGGUAGCCUUAUUACAGGGACAAAUCCCCCUGGAGUAUCCUGAGGUUAAGUGUCUUGCUCAAGGACACAAUGGAUUGCCUUCUACUGUUUGAACCUACAGCCAUGAACUUACAACACCUUCAGGAUGCUCCACCAUUUGCUGUAUUACAAAAUGUGUUUUGCCAAUGUCACAUUCACAAUAUGGAAGAAAAAGACACCCACACACACCCACAAAAAAGUCGUCAAGAUCGCAAUGACAACAUCCCGGAUCAACACCACUCAUAUACUGCAGAGUAUACAGAGUACUGAAACCUAAAGAUGUCCGAGGUCCACUCCCUGUGCAACUGACACUCGACUGCCAUUGGCUCAUCUGCGUUCAAGGGGAGGGGCUUACCAAUAGGUCAAUUGAAGAGCCUGAUUUCAUGCAUAAAAUCAAC